UGCAUUUCCUUCCAGCAUCUCUGCAUGGUCCUGGAGCCGCUCGCGAUGAACCUGCGCGAGGUGCUGAAAAAGUACGGGAAAAACGUCGGCCUGCACAUCAAGGCCGUGCGCAGCUACACCCAGCAGCUGCUGUUGGCGCUGAAGCUGCUGAAAAAGUCCGGCAUCCUGCACGCGGACAUCAAGCCGGACAACAUCCUCGUCAACGACAACAAUCUGGUGCUGAAGCUGUGCGACUUUGGGUCGGCGUCCGCCGUCGCGGACAACGACAUCACGCCGUAUCUGGUAUCGCGGUUCUAUCGUGCACCGGAGAUCAUUCUCGGUCUGUCGUACGACUACGGCAUCGACAUGUGGUCCGCCGGUUGCACCAUCUAUGAAUUGUAUACUGGCAAAAUCUUAUUUAGUGGUAAAUCAAAUAAUCAAAUGCUUAAAUUUUUUAUGGAUUUAAAGGGCAAGAUACCGAACAAGAUCAUACGGAAAGGCCAGUUUAAGGAUCAGCAUUUCGAUCAGAACUGCAACUUCCUGUCGCACGAGAUCGACAAGAUUACGGAGCGGGAAAAAGUCGUCGUCGUGUCGGUGAUCAAACCGAACCGGGACCUACAGCAGGAGCUGAUUGCCGGCCAGAAUCUGCCGGACGACCAGAUUCGUAAAGUGGGCCAGCUGAAGGAUCUGCUGGACAAGGUGUUUGCGCUGGAUCCGGCGAAGCGAAUCUCCCUGAACCACGCGCUGGCGCAUCCCUUCAUCCAGGAUAAGAUCUGAGCGAGAUAAUCCGCGAAGGUGGCCCGGCGCCAGAAGUGGUGGAGCGCUUCGUCGUACUAAUUAUAUCAAUGUGUGAUAAGCCCCAUAGAGGAAGAAGAGUUGACACGUUGACGAUCUCUUGUUUUUACGAUGCAAAAAUAAGAGAGCCGCGUGGAUCACCUUACACAGUGGCUAGCUGACGGCGGCGGCGGACGACUCGCCCUCCUACGCAUGGCCGAACCACGCAGCACCACCACCACCACCAACCUCUCUUUGUCUCAGUCCUCGGUCGUCGCCACCGCCCACACACGCAUCCCGGAAGCCAAACGAAUGCUGUAAAGAUGAAACACAAACCCUUCAAAAAGUAAAGAGUCUUUGGAGCAAUUGUUGCGUGCUGCAUGUGUGUGGGUGUGGGUGCGUGUGCACGCAAGGUUGAGGCCAGUGCCUAUUUUUUCCGGGCGCCGUAAGAGGUAGUGACAUAGUUGACAUUUUCAAGUCAUUCUUAGUUUUACGUUUCGUUUAAAAUCCUCUAUUUUACACUUUUAUUUUUCUUACUCUUGCCUCCUUAAAAUCCCAAGUUCCAUCCCAAUUCUUCCAAAUUUAAACCAAAAACAAAAAUUAAGCAAUCUAGCCAUUUCAAUACGAUACAAUUAUCCUGUGAGCGAGUGAUCUUCUGCUGUUCUUUUUUUCUUUUCUUCUUUUGAUACUCUUUUCAGGUCUGAAGGACGAUUUUUCUACCAAAUCAGAAGUGUGCCGAACUUUGAACCAACAGCGUUGAACAGGUGAGUAUAUUUUUAAUUUUGUUGAAAUUACACAAAACAAUAAUUUUGUAAUAUUAAUUUAACUUCAGACUGUUACAAUCCUUAGGGGUUACAUACAUGUAGACAAUCACAAAAUUUGGUAACACAGAAAAUUCAAUGAAUCCACUAAAAAAAAUCAAUCACUUCAGAAAGUUUCAUGAAGAUAUUUCGAGAAUGAACAGAGUUAGAGACGAUUUAUGUUUAAAGUUUUGCCAUGCGCAAAGCAAACUGAGCAAUUCUACAAAAACGGUCUUUUUUUAGAAUUUUAAUUUUUGUAUUUUUUAAUCCGACUGAAACUUUUUUGGUGCCUUCGGUAUGCCCAAAGAAGCCAUUUUGCAUCAUUAGUUUGUCCAUAUAAUUUUCCAUACAAAUUUGGCAGCUGUCCAUACAAAAACGAUGAAUGAAAAUUCAAAAAUCUGUAUCUUUUGAAGGAAUUUUUUGAUCGAUUUGGUGUUUUCGGCAAAGUUGUAGGUAUAGAUAUGGACUACACUGAAAAAAUGAUACACGGUAAAAAAAAUUUCGGUGAUUUUUUAUUUAACUUUUUGUCACUAAAGGCUAGUAUG